UGCUCUUCUGGAAGAGUUGCGAACGGGUGAGUAACGCGUAGGUAACCUGCCUCUUAGCGGGGGAUAACUAUUGGAAACGAUAGCUAAUACCGCAUAAAAGUCGACAUUGCAUGAUGUUGACUUGAAAGGUGCAACUGCAUCACUAAGAGAUGGACCUGCGUUGUAUUAGCUAGUUGGUGAGGUAACGGCUCACCAAGGCGACGAUACAUAGCCGACCUGAGAGGGUGAUCGGCCACACUGGGACUGAGACACGGCCCAGACUCCUACGGGAGGCAGCAGUAGGGAAUCUUCGGCAAUGGGGGCAACCCUGAUCGAGCAACGCCGCGUGAGUGAAGAAGGUUUUCGGAUCGUAAAGCUCUGUUGUAAGAGAAGAACGAGUGUGAGAGUGGAAAGUCCACGCUGUGACGGUAUCUUACCAGAAAGGGACGGCUAACUACGUGCCAGCAGCCGCGGUAAUACGUAGGUCCCGAGCGUUAUCCGGAUUUAUUGGGCGUAAAGCGAGCGCAGGCGGUUAGAUAAGUCUGAAGUUAAAGGCUGUGGCUUAACCGUAGUACGCUUUGGAAACUGUUUAACUUGAGUGCAGAAGGGGAGAGUGGAAUUCCAUGUGUAGCGGUGAAAUGCGUAGAUAUAUGGAGGAACACCGGUGGCGA
rnacentral:rRNA from 1 species